rnacentral:sRNA from 1 species
CCUCCUGAAACUGCAUGCUAGGUUAGAGCAGAUGACAUUCCCCGAAUAGACUAGGAUAGGUCUUCAGGCAAAUGUAUAUGAGUAGCUGUGCUCCCCUGCUAGAACUUCCAAAGAAGCUCUCAAAUUAUGUCUCAAAAAAGACACAAAGAGAUU